UUGAUGUCUGUCCUUUCUUUACAGGACAUCAUUCAAGUAAGGUAAAGGGAUGGACCCCUCACUACCAGAUCUAACCCGUGACUUCUGAGGCUCAACAAGUUGAAGGGCCCACUUGAGGUAAUUCAUGAAGCCAAUUGGAUUGCAGUGUUGAGGGGUUCAGAAUCUUGACUGUACUUGAACAGGUUCUUCUCCCUUGGAGCUUUAUCCUUUUCAGGACAAUAAGAUGGAGUUAUAGGGAAGAUUUGUGAAGUAGGGAUCUGUCUUCUUCACAGUCAAGAGAAGCUUUUUAUCCUUUGAUGAAAAGUGAAGCUUUUGUUGCUUAGCAGUAAAGUUGAGUUAUGGACAACAGACAUCAAAUCUUGUGACUUGGAAGGAGACUUUCCAUGUGACAAUAAUUGAAAGAAUCAUAUUAUCAGACCUGAAAGCAAUGAGGGGGCAGCUGAUGGAACAAAUUCCUAGCACUUUUCCCUCGUUCCUCAGAAAAGAAAAAGAAGGCAUGCUAGCAUGCACUCAUGCGCGCACACUCUCCUAAGAGGUCCAGUUACUCCUACGUCCAUGGGCACAUAUGUUGACUGCAUCCAAAAGGGUUAUUCAAAUGAAGACCUUUUCUUCUGCUGUUCUGGAACCUCGCAGUUAUGGAGCAGAAGCAAUGGAAAACAAUGUUCAUGAUUGACAAACUAGCUAUUGCAGUAUAAAACAUGGAACUCAGGAAGAGAGGGAUCCAAGUCAUUUGGAGCAUGGAGUGCACCAACUACAGUUCAAAGUAAUGAAGGAAAGCAACAUGGUAUGACAUAAAUAGUCAGAAGUUCCAAGAUUAUGGUCCAGAUUGACUCUCGAAAGGUG